GAUUUCCUAUAGAGCCAAAAAAGUAUGCAUAGAUCUGGAAAUAGGUUUAAAGGAAAGAUUUAGAAGGUGAAGGAGCUGAUAAAGAGCAUGCUAAAUUCUCACUGUCUUAAUCAUUUUUGGUGUACAAUGCAAUUCAUGUAUAGGUUUGGUGCUUUGUGCUGACAAGAAUUCUCUGAUUGGCAUCAUUUGCAGUAACUGUGGUGAUCCAGGACGCUUUCAAGAUUACAAGUUCAGUAGUGGCAACUUGAACUUAUGUAAGAAUAAACAGGGUGAUUUUUCAUUCUGAAGAGUUUCCUAACUGUUGACUUUAAGCCUUCAUAGUUACAUCGUGGGAUUAUGAAUAAGAUGGUGCUAAUUAUAUUUUGA